UACGGAGGAUCCAAGCGUUAUCCGGAUUCAUUGGGUUUAAAGGGUGCGUAGGCGGAAUGAUAGGUCAGUGGUGAAAUCUCUCGGCUUAACCGAGAAACUGCCAUUGAUACUGUCAAUCUUGAGUACAUUUGAUGUGGGCGGAAUGUGUCAUGUAGCGGUGAAAUGCUUAGAUAUGACACAGAACACCGAUUGCGAAGGCAGCUCACAAAACUGUAACUGACGCUGAGGCACGAAAGCGUGGGUAUCAAACAGG
rnacentral:rRNA from 1 species